ACAGCCACCCGCUUAGUGUCAGUCAGUAGUUUGUGACUUGUUCUUUUGUUCAUGUUGUAAGUAGUAUUGAUUUACAAUUUACACAUUUAGCAGGAGCAGCAAUGUGUGGAACACCGCUUCGCAGUGGUGCUACGAUCAGCCAAUUCUUCGAAUUCAAUUAAGAAAAUGGUCAGCGUCUGCAAGUGCGCUGCUUGCAGUUUGCGCACCUACUAAAAGACGGUCGCUGCUCAACACUGCAGGUCCAUUCCAUUUGAAAUGGAAAUUCUUAGCCAUCGUUAGCUUCUUUCUGCACUCUCAACAGACAUAGGAAUCUUCACCGAUGGUUCUAACGAUGGGACCACAGCGAUGGAACGCCAGCAACAACCGAUUCUUCUGAUACUUCGGACCCACCGACACCACCCAUCAAGAAGCGGAAGACACUUUGAAGACUUUGACAGAUGGAAUUUUGAAGGAGGUGGGAGCACGGAACGAAAUGCAGAGCGACGCCACCUUGCGAUGCAUUCGCGUGACGACAUUACCUUCACAAUAAUUUGCCUUGAAGAACAAAAUUAUUCUUUACUGUUGCUGCUGGAGUGGUAACCUCAGCCAGUUGAUGCCUUGAUCAUCACUAGGAGCCAGGAUGCCUUGAUCAUCAACUGGCUGGUGAAGCCACUGCAGCAGCAACAGUCCAGACCAAUCUUGUUAUUGAAGACAAAGUUAGGACCGGAGCCAAAGGAAAUCUGGACUCGGACUAUCUGCUGAUAAUAUUUUGAUAACGUUUUUACAAAUUGAAUAAAAUUAGAUAACUAAAUA
rnacentral:sRNA from 1 species